UACAGUGCUUUGGACACCUAUUGUCCAGUUUCUCUCUGUCUGAGACUUCUAUCUUGGAGAGAGAAGUGCUCUAUUUCAGACUUCAUCAUCUCAGUCUUUCCACUAGUAUUACUCUGUCUAUCAUUUUAGAUUUCCAAGUAAAUACUUAUGAUUAGUUGGCAGGUUUUUUUUCUUUUAUAUCUCUCAAUUUUUAGCAAAUUUUAUUGGUUUUUUUAACUGGAUGUUCCUUUAUUUACAUUUAAAUUCUUAUGUCCUUUCCCAUUUUCUGGCCCAUAACAUCCCUAUCUGGUCCCCCUGCCUGUAUUCUAUAACCCUUCUUACUACCCCUUAACAUUUCCUGGAACUUGGAGUUAAACCUAGGGAGGACCAAGGACUUCUCCUUCCAUUAGUACUCACCAAGUCCAUCCUCUUCCACAUAUUCAGUUGGAGCCAUAACUCUGUCCAUGUACAUUCUUGAACAUAGGUCUAGUAUCAGAAAGCUCUGGUUCAUUAGCAUUGUCGUUCUUAUGGUGUUAAAGCCCCUUCAGCUCUUGUAAUCUUUCCUGAAAAUCUACAAACAAGAAGUCCAUUUUCAGUUCACUGGUUUGCCACUAGCAUUCACUUCUGUAUUUGGCAUAAUCUAGUUGUGUCUCUCAGGAAAUAUCUAUAUCUGAUUCCUGGAAGAAUGCACUUACCUUCAUCAAUCUUGUCUAGUUUUGGUGGCUGAUGUAUAUGUAUGUACUUUUGGUGGCUCCUACAGCUCUGAGUUUAGCUGGAAUUUUGACAUGGGUUCUGCAUAUCUAGGUCAAGACUGUAGAAUCCACAAAUGGCAACACCAAAUAGACUCCAUCCUGUUUUUUGAAACUUCUGAAAUUGAGGCGUCACUGGUCCUCAAGUCAUUCCUCUAGAUGCCCAGCCUCCUAUAUCUUAUGUUUGGCCUUAAUAACUAAUCAUGGUAAAAUACUCAAAACCCUCAAGUAUGGGAAUGAAACUCAGGAAGGUAGAUAUUGCAGAACUGAUAUCAAAUGUGACUAGAGAACCAAAUUCAAUAGUCCAUGUUGUGCUUUGCUUUUCUGAUAUCUGGUAAUUUUUUGUUAAAAUAAGGAUUUGGGAAUUUAUAAUUUGAAUUAGGUAUACAGUAUUUACACUGUUAUGCUUAUUGUAUAGUUGGGCCCCCUUUGUUGCCAAAAUCUUUGCAGAAAAUGGAAUUGGAAAACAGAAUUUUUAAGUACACAUUGAGGAAUAUUUUCAAAGUCCCCUAUCAACGAAUUUUCAAUAAGAAAUUGAAAUACAAUAUUCAUUCAAUUAAAUGUCUGUAGGGAAAUACUGGCCUUUGGGAAACAGAAUACUUAGAAUGUUGAACUGAGUCUCAGGUAUGAACCUGGGGAUAUAAGUAUUAUCUAGAAGAUCUCCUAUAUUCCAUGUUCCUAAAUGUUUUCUACCCAUGCCAAGACCCUGACUAACUUUCUCCAUUCAGAGCUUUUAACUACUAGUGAAGCAGAGAGAAGUCUCUAGGUUUAGAGAGAUGGAGUAUGUAAAGGUUUAAACUGUGUAAUAGGAGACUCUCCUGGAAAGGACACCCUCGAAUCUGGUCAAUGAAAGGAACGCUGCUCAGCAGCUAAGGACAUGGCAGUUCUCAGUGACAUCAUCAUUAGGCCUCCCUGAAAAAUCUUUUGUAUCCUGGAGAUCCCCAGCUUCUUCUGUGAUGUAACAAGUAUUGUCCUGACAGGAUCUGCCUCUCCGAUAUUUCUUCAGUACCUCUCUGGUUUACUAAUUGGCCACUAAUUCAGAGUAAACAGCCAUGUGGGAGUGAGAACAAACAGGAUGAAGAGAUCAGAAAUGGGCAGAAGUUCUUCAUGUUUGCAUGAUGGAACAGUAAAAGCAAAUCUUUCACUAUCCCUUGGACAAAGAGGUAUGAAGAAAAAGCAAUCUUUUAUAUCAAUCAGUACAGCAGGUCAACAGGCUGGCAGAGAGGAUAAAAGAGGAAGCCCACGUUGCACUGGGCUCAUGAUUUGCAACUGUUGAUUAUUAAAUUGUAAAUUAUGCAUCAUCAUUCCCUGACUUCUUAUAUCACAUAUAUUGGGGUAUUCCAAUAUGAUACUGAUGGUUUUAUAUGCUUCAUAGUCAGCUUUAGCUGUGGCAAGCUUCUCAGAAGAAAGCAGUCACUGAAGAACCCUCAAUGGCUCCUCUGUUUUCCAGGUAAUGGAAACCCUUCCUCAGCAGCCCCAAGGAAAAACCCAAGUCCUGAUCCUUUUCUCUCUUUUGGGCAGUUAUAGGGUUAGUCCUACCCUGCAAGUAUUUCCCUAUUCCUUUACUGGGAAUAUAACCCAUAUGUUUCAUAAUCUUUUGUGAAGUUUCAGAAUACUCAGUGUUCAAUUUGAAACCCAUAUAUUUCAGCAAAUCUCUCCCUCAAAGGGAAAUGGGCAAAUCAAACACAUAGGGUUGCAUAACUCCCGAAUGCCCUUCCUGAUCUCUCCAACUCACUUGUCUUGCGCUCAUAUCAGGAGCUCAUGCUUAAUGGAGACAUUGUAAUGUUUGAUAUGAGACCUGUACUGGCCAUCCAGAGGGCCAAACUUUCUUAGCUAUUAUACUUCUAUUGGGCACUGUAUCCAACAGUCCUAGGAUCCUUUUUCCUUCUACCCUUAGCUCCAUUACUGGGCGUUGGUUUAAACCCAAGGCUAGAAAUGUAAGGUCGGAGCUGAAACCAUUCUCUCCUCUCCCUCUAGACUGGGCUGCAAAACUUCCAUGAAGCCUAGGCAAAGUAAUAGUUUGGCUAUUCUGUCCCCAGGGGAAAUGGCAGUAAUCUCUUUCAGUGAUUCUACCAUGUUCUUGACUACCCCAGUAUAAUCUGGGUCAAUAACUCCUGGAUGGACAUGUAGUCCUGUUAAAGCCGUAGAUGAUUUCCCUAUAAGUAACCAUACUGUGCCAAGUUCAAGGGGACGUUUAAAUCAGUUUCUAUCAACUGUACACCCAUCCAAGGAGUUAGUACGAGUCUGGCAGUGGACCAGAUGUCCAGUCCUGCAGAGCCUUUAGUGGCUCUCCUUGGCCCCUCAGAUGGCGAAGGGAUGACCAUCUCUCGUGACUCGGUUCUACAUCCUAAUUCUCGACUGGCACAUAUAUUUGUAGGCCCUAGGGUCGUGGACGUGGCUCUCCAUUUUUUGGACCUGCUCCACCAAAACCCGAGCUAAGAGGCUGCCCAUUGAUGUCUUUUACCGAGUGGCACUCAUGAGUGCAAUGGUUCCCCUUUUUGCACUUGGGGCACGACCCUUUUUGCCUUGGUCGUUGGCCACUUCUUGUACUGAAGAGACUUCUCCUUUCUGGACAUUGCCUUUUGAGGUGCCCCUGUUGAUCACACUUAACACACAUUCCUGAGCGUCCUCCUUUUCUCUGCAUCAUCUGCAUAACAGCAGCUGCAAGUCCAGCAUUAGUCAAAGAUCCCCCUAUAUCUCUACAGACCUUGUUCCAAGCUUCAAGUCCCUUAUUCUUGUAAGGAGUGGUAGUGGCUCGAUAUUCCUUUGUGCAAAGCUCAUAGGCCAAUUGUUUAAUUAAGGGCAUAAUCAUAAUGGGGUCGCCAAAGUCUCUACCUGCUGCUACCACUAAUUGGGCUACAAAGUCAGAGAAUGGCUCCAUAGGUCCUUGAAGGAUCUUGAUGAGGUUUCUACUUACUUCUCCCUUUCUAGGUAAGGAUUUCAAUGCAUUUGUUGCAACCUCAUUAAUCUGCUGGUAAACCUGUCCUGGAUAACCUGUCUGAGCAUUGGCAGAGUGUCCCUGACCUAGCAGCAUAUCUCUAUCCCAGGCAGCCUCCCCCCCCCCUCGAUACCAAGUUAGCGGCAGCCUGUUCAUUGGCAAACUCAAUAAGAAAAGCUCUCCAGUCCAAAUACUGUCCCAGACUAAGACAGGCCUGAGGAAGUUUACUCCAAUCACUAGGAGUCAUGCAAAAUCUGUGUAAGGCCUCAACCUGAGUUAUGGGAAAUGAGGCCAUAAUGCAAUAUGUCCUGACUGAUUUUACAGGGACUUGAUCACCUUAAAGUCUAAAGGCUCAUGAUACCUUUGUUGAUUAUCAUCCACAUAAACUGGAUAGACCAGAUGCAGUUCUGUGUGGAUUGGCUUCCACUCUUCUGGGCAGAAUUUACUACCCAUUUGUCACGCGCCCAAUUUCUCACCAGCAAGAACGACGUGUGGCAACAGGAUUCUUCUGCGAACAAGCCUUUACUGUACAGCUCUCUUGAACAGGGACAGGGAGACCUCAAGCAGCAAGAAUGCUCGCCUUAUAUAGACAGCAGCUGAGACUUUGCUAAUUGUACUUCGGGGAUUGGCGGAGCAUGAAUACCUCAUUAGCAUGGUGCUGCUCCCUCAUUAGCAUAUUACUGGCCAACUGAUGCCAGGUGCAAAGCCUGCACAUGCACAGUACUGUUGUUCACCACAGGAGGGCUCCCUGCACGAGAAACUCUACUUCCUCCCUCUACAACAUUGCAGGGAGGAGCACCUGAGGGGAACCACACAGGAAGUUCCUCCACCAUUUUAGGCUUUUUCCUUUUCUUGUUCUGUCUAUUCCUUAGAGACUGUUUCCGCAUUUGAUCUCUCAACUCUUGUAACUCUUUUUCUGAAUCUGUUUCAUUUGUUUCUUCCUCUGUAUCUGUCUUUUCUGAGUCGGUCUCCUUUACGCUUCCCUGCUUUUCUGUCCUCUCAUUUUGAUGCAUUUCUUGGGCAGCUUGCCCCUUCUCCAUAGUUGCCUGACAACAUUUUUGAUCCUCAAGACAACUACGCACUAAGGGCCGCACUGGAUGGACCCCAGGUCUUUGUGUCCCCUGUUCCCAUGCAAAAUCAAGGUCUUUCCCUAAUUUUUCCCAACUUCCAUAGUAAGAUUACCAGAGACUGCGAACCAGGGGGCGAUGACAUCCCAUUCACGCAAAAAUCUCUCUACUAAUGCUCCUUUUUAUUUUUAGUUUCUUAUGCUCAAACAGCUCUUGAAGAGCCAGAAAAAUUGGAUGAGACUGUGAGGUCCUCAUGACAAAAUCUUUCUACCCUGCUAUGGAUAAAUUCACCAAGCGUCUUCCUAAUUUCGGUUCGCUGCUACCGAGAACUUUCUUGGUAACUACACUGAAUAUUUAUAGCCACUUAUAUCCCAGGGUCGUUAUGGUCCCAUCUUACCUUGGGAACUUUCCAGCGCUGCCCUGACUGCAUGAAGUUCUGAUAUCAGGAGGUCCCGUACGGGCCACCACUUGCUGUAUCCAACCUCGACCAGCAAGGAAGACACGAAUAGUGAAGAUCUUCUUCAUGCAGUUUUACUUAGGAACUUUGAUACAAUCUUCUGACCCCAGGGAACCCACACACCACACUUAAAUAGCUAGCACUGCCCAAUCCUAAUAAGACACGUGGGUCAUGCAGAUAUGCUGUCACUAUGCAGAAGCCAGCAGGCCAGGCAGGCAUAUAGCCAAAUAAGGAAUAGUUUAGUGAAAGGAGAGCUCACCAUUAGGAGGUUGGAAUGCAGAAACAACUGCCAACUUUGAGGCUGGGCACGUCGCAGCUGCCUACAGUCGCUUUUCAAGGAAUUUACAAUAAGAAAUGGAAAUACAAUAUUCAUUAAAUUAAAGGUCUGUAGGGAAAAUACUAGAGUUUGGGAAACAGAGAAAACCUAGAAAAUUGAACUGUAUGUCACAGGAAAAAAACUGUGACAUAGAGAAUAAAAAUAUUCUCUAGAGGAAUCUACUACACUCCAUGUUCCUAAAUCUUUACUACCCAUGCCAAGCCCCUGUCUAAAUUUCUCCAUUCAGAACAUGUAACCACAAGUGAAGCAGAGAGAAGUCUCUAGAUUUAGAGAAAUGGAGUACAUAAAUUUUUCCACUGUAUCACAGGAGACACUCCUGGAAAAGGCACUCUCGAAUCUGGUCAAUGUAAGGAAAGGUGCUCAGAAGUUAGGCCAUGGUUGCUCUCAGUUACAUCAUCAUUGGCCCAUGCCUGAAAAAUCUCUUGUAACCUGGAGAGCCCUAGCCACAUCUGUGAUGUCACAAGUUUUGUCCUGACAGCAACUGCCUCACAGAUAUUCCUUCAGUAACUCUAUGGUUUACUAAUUGGCCUCUAAUACAGAGUAAAUAGCCAUUUGGGAGUGAGAAGAAAGAGGGUAAAAAGAACAGUGAUGGGGAGAAAGAAGUUGGUCUUCUGUAUUUGUAUAAAAAAGGAAGAAAUACUUGGUCCAUUGGAAAACUGAGUGAGCCCUGAUUAGGGUUGAGUGGGUUUACUGAAAAAUAGCCUUUAUCUGAGCUCUCUACACAUGGGACUGAGAGCCUCCCAGAAGCAUCUGGACAUCCCUGCUUGCUAUGGUUCCUUGAAUUCAGAGAAUUUAAAUCAUUAAUUUCUUUAUUCCAAAAGCCAGGUAUUGGAAAACGCCCAGUUGUUUCCUGAGAGCUCAUGGGUUUUAUAAUUUUUCUCAGAAGAGAAAGGUCCUAAGGAAGAAGGGAAAGACAAGUAUGGUGUCCUCAGUUCAGAGUACACACCUCCUUUUUUGGAUUCCUGUAGUGCAGUUUGGGUCCGUCACUGGUAUCUGGGAGAGAGAAGUGUUUCUAGUUGAGUCUUCAUCAUCUCAGUCUUUCCACUAGUAUUAUUCAGACAAUAUUCCCUGACAAUUACACCUUUAGAUUUCUGAGUCAAUAGGUGUGAUUAGCAGGCAGUUAACUUUUCUUUUUUUCUCUCAUUUUUUUAGCAAUUUUUAUUGCUUUUUCUAAUUGGAUAUUUUUAUAUUUACAUUUCAAAUAUUAUUUCCCUGGUUCCUGUCCAUGAGAUCCCUAAACAGUCCCACUUACCUGCUUCCAUAAGGCCUCUUACUUCCCUUUGACAUUCCCUUGAACUGGGAGGCAAACCUAAGGAGGAGCAAGGGUUUCUCCUUCCAUUGGGGCCCAACAAGGCCAUCCUCUUCUACCUAUGCAUUUGGAGCCAUAGGCCUGUUCAUACACAGUCUUUGAAUAUUGGUUUAGUACCAGAAAGCUCUGCUUAGUUGAAUUGUUGUUCGUAUGGGAGUUGAAAGUCCAUUCAGCUCUUGUAAUCUUUUCUAAACAUCUACAAACAUGAGGUUCAUUUUCAGUUCCCUGGUUUGCCACUAGCAUUCACUUCUGUAUUUGACAUGCUCUGGCUGUGUUUCUCAUGAAAGAUCUAUGUCCAGUUCCUGGCAGCAUGAGCUUCUUAGCUUCAACAAUCCUAUCUAGUUUUGGUGCUUGAUAUAUAUAUGCUUUGGUAGCUCCUACUACUAAGAAUUUUGAUGGAAUAUUUACUUGUAUUCUGUGUAACUAGGUCAAGAAUAUAGGAUCCACAAAUGACAAGGCCAAAUAGAGUCCUUCCUGUUCUUAUAACCUAUGGAAGUUGAGGUUUCACUGGACCUCAAGCCAUUCUUCUAGCUGACCAUCACCCAGAAACUGAUGUUUGUCCUGGUAAAGAAUCAUGAUAAAACAUCCAAAAACCUCAAGUCUUUCCCUGGGAACACAGGAAGGUUGAUAUUAGAGAACUGAUAUAUAAUAGAACUACAAACUGCAUUAUAUAGUCCAUGUUAUCCUUUGCUUAACUAAUGUCUGGUUAUUUAUGGAUAAAAUAAGGAUUUGGGAGUUCAUCAUUUGAAGGACAUACACAAUAUUUACACUAUUAUAUUCACUCUAUAGCUGGUCCCCUUUUGUAUCCAAAUUUAUUGCAUAAAAUUUAAUUGGAAAAAUGAAAAUUUUUAGUACACAUGCAGGAUCAUAUGUAAUGUCCCCUAUCAAUGAAUGUACAAUCAGAAAAUGUAGUACAAUAUUCACUCAAUUAAAGGUCUGUAGGGAAAAUACUGGAACUUGGAAAACGAGGACACUUAGGGAAUUUAACUUUAUGUCAGAGGAAUGUACCUGGGAAUAAAAUUAAUCUCCAGAAGGAACUCCUUCUCUCCAUGUUCCUAGAUCUUUUCUACCCAUGCCCAGCCCCUGACUAACUUUGUUCAUUCAGAGCAUGUAAUCUCUAAUGAAGCAGAGAGAAGUCUGUAGCUUUAGAGUGAUGUAGGAUAAAAGAUUUCUACUGUAUCACAGGAGACACUCCUGGACACGGCACCCCUGAAUCUGGUCAUUGUAAGGAGAUCUGUUCAGCAGGUAGGCCAUAGGAGUUCUCAGUGACAUCAUCAUUAGGCCCUCUCUGAAAAAUCUGUUGUAUCCUGGAGAGACGUAGCUUCUUCUGUCAUGUCACAAGUGUUGUCUUGACAGCCACUGCCUCUCAGAUAUUCCUUCCUUAUAUCUAUGGUUUACUAAUUGGCCUCUUAUUCAGAGUAAAGAUCCAUUUGGGAGGGAGAACAAAUAGGAUGAAGACAUCAGAGAUGGGGAGAAGGAAGCUGGCCCUCUUUCUUGGUAUAACAUAAAAGAAGAAAUAUGUGGUUCUUGGGAAAAUUCCCUGUGACGAUGACUUUAGUUCUUUUGUUUUCUAGGUGUACCGAGCUCUUGGAGAAGUUGCUUAAAAUCCUAAAGAAAUUUGGGCAGAUGGUAAAGUUUCUAGGUACCCCUUUUUAGAUUCAAUUUUCCUGGGGAUUGUAUGUCUUAUGGUACAUGUUUACCAGGAAGAGUGAUAGAGCCAGAUUGAUUUUUAGAUGUUUUAGAAGACAUGGAAUUUUUCUGAUAUACUUGGCCUAAUGAUUGCAUAAGGUCCAAAGGAUUUUUUUUCGAUGUGGACUUUCCCUCAGACCUUUGGAAAUAUAAAAAAAAUAGUUUUGCAUUUUUAAGUCUAAUUUGCACAAUGAAAAAUCACUUUGAGCAUCUUUGGACGACAUGGGAUGUCCAGCAUUCCCUUGAAAGCAUUGUUAACUUUACAAAUUUCCUUCGUCAUUUUUUGAAUAUUCCAAGGCCCUUAGGACAGAGAAGGUGUGGGACUCACCUAAGGAGUAGUUGUAGCUUUUGGUGUCUCUUUUGCAGAAGAAGUCACAAGAUCCCUUUUGGCAGAAGGGGGAAGGUUGAAACUGUCUUCCUUAGAGGAGAAAUUUCUCAAGACUCCAUCAGAAGGAUCAAAUCUUAACCCUUUGUUUCUAGAAACUGGAUGCCUGUGGCACAUUUUUGUAGAGGGAGAAUGUCGACUAUUUCUCUCCAGAGAGGACAUGUGAAAGAAAUCUACUUGGGUACAUGGGAUAGUUGUAAAGAAUGCUGUUCAGAUGUAGUAGAUCCUAAGAUAUCCUUCUCAGGUGAGGAAGGUCUUAAUGUACCAUGUAUAUGUUUAGAAAUCCUGACUGACGUCAGAAUGGGGCUUAGAUACCUCUGAAGAUGUGACCUCUCCUAGAGCAUCAUGGAUAUAUGUGAGGUGGCUGAGAGCCUCAUGAACAGAUAAGGAUGUUUCUAGAUAUAGUUGUGUAAUUGAGGAAGUUCCAAGAAAAAUUUCUUCUGCUGGAGAAGAAGAAACAGACUUUCAUAUAGAAGUGUGAGGUUCCCUAGCCUCCUUGAUAGGCAAAACAGGUUCGAAGGCCCCUUCAGAAGUUUAGAUAAAAUCCAGAGCCUUUGAGGUAUUAGGUAAAAUCAGAGCCUGGGACUGAUUGUGGGUAUAAAGUAGGACUGGAAACCCUUUGUGCAUACUUGGAAGAGUGUACCAUCUUCUGUAGUUAGGGAAGAUGGCUGAUCUUGAGGCGAUAAGGAAGUUUCCAUAGCCUCCUGUGAAAUUUGCGGAGGUCGUAUGCAUUCUUUUACACAAAUGUAAUCCAAGGAAUCACUUUCCUCAGAUGCCGAGGAUGGUACAGACACUGGUGUUUGCAUAUCAUGUUCCCCUACUCCACGUUCACAUACGCUUGGAUCCAUAACCUUCUCUACAGAAGGAAUAUGUCCUAGAACAUCUUUUGUACAUGUGUCACAUCCACAAGACGUUUCUCUAGAUGUGGCUGUGGGUAGAACUCCUUUAGUAGAUAUUUCUCGUUCCACAGACUCUUUAUGAGAUAGAGUACUACUCAGAGAAUCCUGCUCAGUUUUGGGAAAUUCUAGCAUCUCUGAUGUAUAUCUGGAAAAUUUUGGAGCCUCUCCUUUUUUGAAAGAAUGACCUAGAAUCCCUUGAGUAGGUAGGAGACGAUUUAUCUCCUCUGCAGAUUGUAUUAAUACGGAGUUUGCAUGGCUCAUUGACUGUGUGUUGUGAUAAACUUGGCUCUUUUGUGCCUGAUGAAAACCAACAUUUGUGCUCCAACUGUACUGCCUGAUGGACUCAGGACACAAAAAGACCGUAUUUCCAUUGGGACCAGGCAGUUCCAGUUUCCAGUUUGUUGAUCCUAACCCAGAACUCCCUGCUCCUAGAUGCUGUGGGAGAGAGAGCUGAUCACCCAGGACUGUAGGCUAUACUGAGACUACAGGGCAGGAGAGACUGAAAUUUUUGCCCAACAUUGCCCACAUCUCUGGCCCAAGAGGAUCCUUCAUAGUGCCUCUGGACACCUGGACACCGGAAUAUAGGAGGAGUAAAGCUGCAGGACCACCAUGUUACAGACUGUGCCUGGAUCUGAACUGAACUGUUCAAACAGCUCUUUCAUCCAAAUCCUGAGGGUGGGGGAACUAGAAUUUCAGAGGAGCAGACACUCCUGGGAAACCAGAGGAGACUAUUCUCUGCCCAGAUUCCUGACUCAACAGGAAAACCCCUUGGGCCAUCUGUGCAACACCCCCACAGAGGAAUCUAAGAGAAAUAGGUGAAGGUCCUGCUUGUUCCUAACCACAGGGAUGACUGAAAGCCAGUGGACAGGAGAAACUACUCGACUGAGAGCAGAAUACUCUGUUCCCGUAACUGGCUAAAAGAAAACAGGAAACAAGUCUACAGCAGUCCUGACAAAUGAGACUACAGGAUGGUCAAGCCCCUGUCAGAAAGAAUUAGGCAAGCUAACUCCAGAGACAACCUGAUGGUGAGAGGAGAGCACAGGAAA